GUUAAUUUAGAUUCUUCAAAUCCUGAUGUAUACUGUAUCAGAGCUCUUGUAUGGAGCUCAGCAAAAGAAAAAAGGAGAGCCCUGGUUGAUUUGAAUGCUAGUUUCAAACUGAAUUCAUCUCAUAUUUGUACUCUGAUAUUAAGGGGAGCUAUUUUAAGCGCUUUGGGUAGCCUGCCUUCAGAGAAAAAUAAAGAUCAUGAAAAGGCCUUGAUUCUCUCUUGGGACAGUAAGGAUUUCUGUGAUGUGGAAGACUUUUAUCAUCCUAAAAUGCUCUCUUUCUAUGAUAAAUUCUUGUGGUCUCUAAAUGCUUUUCACACCAUAACAGAAAUCAACCUCUUUGAUGGAGCUACAUAUGCAGCCAAUUGUAAGAAUGAGUGAAUGUAUAUAAUGCUACUUUGCUUCCUUUUGUGAGUGUCUUUUACUUUAGUUGCGUUAUUCAGCAUAUCCUUGAUUAUAUUACCCUGAUUAAUAGUUUUAGUCUCAGAAAAAAAAUAAUACCCAUAUUAUUUUUCCUUGGCAUAGAUGAGUUUCCUAAAUUUUACUUCGAUUGCUUCACUAUCUUGGGAAUGUUGGAUUAUCCACUUACUUGAUUUGAUAUAGAAACGUGUAUAAAAUACAGGGGUACGAGUUUAACAGUGGAAGCUGUGCAUAUAAGAUUUCUUUCUUUUUUUACUAGGACUUGGGUAAUUUUUUGUUCUUUAAUUAUUUAAUUCUUUAAUGCAUUUUGUUUGUUGUAUUCCUGAAUUGGCAGCAAACAUAACUAGAGAUGUGGGACAAUCAAAGAAAUCAUUUAGAUGUGGAUCUCUUGCAAGAUAUUCUGACAAUACAUCCUUAGAAAGAAGAAAAGUAUAUACAGAAGCAGUCAGGCAAUCAAGUAUAGGACUUAAUGGUAAAUAUUGCAAAGGUUUUUGAACAGAAUAAGAGUAAGAAGGUAUAAUCUUUUUUCUAAAUACCAUCUUCUUGUACUAUAUAAUAAUGUAGACUUUGAUUGUAGACUUCUAGGCUGUUUUUGUCAAAGGGCCAUUUGAUGAUGGUUUAUAGCAAGCACCACUGCUACAGGGACACUUAAUUUCUCACAAUCUUGCCCUAUUUUACUGUGAAUUUUCUAUUGCUUACUGAACUGUGGAUAUAUUUGUGACUUUCCAAUUACAGAAGUUAUUAGAAUAAUAGAAGAAUCAAAUCAAAUCAACUUUAAUUAAGAUCAAAUAUAACUCAAAUAUGCAUUAUAUAUAGGGUUUCUCUGAUUUCACAGAAAUUAAGGUCAAUAGUCUGAAGCCCCUGGGAAUAUCAAAAUUACAAUUUCUU